rnacentral:rRNA from 1 species
AGCAGUAGCCGCGGUAAUACGGAGGAAGCUAGCGUUGUUCGGAAUUACUGGGCGUAAAGCGCACGUAGGCGGCUUUGUAAGUUAGAGGUGAAAGCCUGGGGCUCAACUCCAGAAUUGCCUUUAAGACUGCCGAGCUAGUAGGUGAGAGAGGUAAGUGGAAUUCCGAGUGUAGAGGUGAAAUUCGUAGAUAUUCGGAAGAACACCAGUGGCGAAGGCGGCUUACUGGCUCAUUCUAGACGCUGAGGUGCGAAAGCGUGGGGAGCAAACAGGAUUAGAUACCCCGGUAGUCCCUGUCUCUUAUAC